GAUGAACGCUAGCUACAGGCUUAACACAUGCAAGUCGAGGGAAGGGCGCACGGGUGAGUAACGCGUAGCCAACAUGCCCUUCACCAAGGGAUAACCCGGGGAAAGGCGGACUAAGACAGUAGGGGGAAGGAUGGGGAUGAGUCCGAGUGGCUUGACGGCGGGGUAACGGCCCACCGUGGCUACGGUCGGUAGGGGUUAUGAGGGGAAGGUCCCCCACACUGGAACUGAGACACGGUCCAGACUCCUACGUGAGGCAGCAGUGAGGAAUAUUUGUCAAUGGGCGUAAGCCUGAACCAGCCAAUUAGCGUGCAGGACGACGGCCUAUGGGUUGUAAACUGCUUUUAUGCGGGGAUAGGUACCGCAUGAAUAAGGACCGGCUAAUUCCGUGCCAGCCGCCGCGGUAAUAC
rnacentral:rRNA from 1 species